ensembl:snRNA U6 U6 spliceosomal RNA
GUGUUCGCUUCGGCAGCACAUAUACUAAAAUUGGAAUAAUACAGAGAUUAGCAAUGGCCUGUGCUCAAGGGUGACACACAAAUACUUGAAAUGUUCCAUAUUUUU